GCUUGCCAGAUAUUUACUGUUCAUCUUCAUCAAAUGAGGACAGUGGUAUCCCACUAUAUGGUUUUCAAUUUUGUGUAAGAAAAACAUGCUUUAUGCAUUGUUAGUAAAAGAAAUAUCUGAAUAUCCCUGCCAUGGAAGAAAGAAACAGAGGGAGAAAAGAGAGUUGGUGCCCAAUGGGGAGCAAACUGACUUGCUGCCUGGGCCCCAGCGGGGGCCUCAACUGUGACUGCUGCAGGCCAGAUGUGGGACCCUGCCAUGAGUGUGAGAUUCCUGAGACUGUGGCAGCCGCAGCACCAGCAUCCACCACUGCAAAGCCUGCCAAAUUGGAUUUGAAAGCUAAGAAGGCCCAACUCAUGCAGUACCUCAGCCUCCCGAAGACGCCGAAGAUGCCGAAGAUGCCCAAAGGUUUGGACGCCCACUCCAAGCGCUGUUUAAAAAUAAUAUGGAGACGGCAUGGAAUUUGGCCUCUAGAAAAUAUGGGUCCCAUUGAAGAUGUGCAGGCGUCUGCACAUGGCGGUGUGGAGGAGAAUAUGACAUCAGAUAUUGAAAUAUCUGAGGCCAAGCACGACCACCGUCCCAAUGAAGAUGUGCAGGUGUCUGCACAUGGCGGUGUGGAGGAGAAUAUAACGUCAGAUAUUGAAACAUCUGAGGCCGAGCAUGACCACCAUUUGGUCGAAGAUCUCAGUGAAAGCCUAUCUGUCUGUCUUGAAGACUUCAUGACAUCGGAUCUCAGUGAAAGCCUAUCUGUCUCUCUUGAAGACUUCAUGACAUCGGGUCUCAGUGAAAGCCUAUCUGUCUCUCUUGAAGACCUCAUGACACUGGAGAUGGGCCCAGCAUGAUCUGAUCCUCAUGGCGCUUUCCUUUCUCCUACUGCAGGCAAAGGAGAGAUAUGAAGAUUACCUCCGCUGGGUUAAGAUGGCACGGUCUCGGCUCAAUGAACCCAUCAGCUCCCAGGUUCAAGGACUUCUCCGGCUUUCGUGUUCCAAGUAGCUGGGAUUACAGACGCCUGCCAUCACGCCCAGCUCAAAUCAUUUUAUGAAUGCAUAUUUCCAUCUGGGUGAAAAAAAAAUCACAAGCCUCUCUCUCUUCCUACUCAGCACCUGUGAACAGUGACCUGCAGUUUGUGGCUGCAGCCAGUCCUCUUGCAGCCUGGUGUUCUUACAUUUCAUUCUGAGGCUCACAUUCUCAGUCACCAUGCAGAAGAACACCCGCCCCAUCCUGGGUCAUUACAGAGUGGGUCAAUCCAUCUGCUGCAUCUGAAGAGCUGGGUCCAGCUUCUACGGUGAAUCCAUAUAUUUCUGUAUUUCCUGGAUAAGGAAGAGCAAAGGAGCUGAGCUGGUGGAGGAAGAAGAGCUAAUAUUAACUGACUCCUUAUUUUGUGCUAGUUUAUCUCAUGUAAUUCUUACCAAACUGUAAGGGGGUUUGGGAGUGAUGGAGACAAUAUUGAUGUUAUCUCCAUUUUAGGGUGAGAAAAUAAAGGCUCAGAAAUGUUA